AGCGAACGCUGGCGGCAGGCCUAAUACAUGCAAGUCGAGCGCACCUUCGGGUGAGCGGCGGACGGGUGAGUAACGCGUGGGAACGUGCCCUUUGGUACGGGAUAACUGAGGGAAACUUCAGCUAAUACCGUAUGUGCCCUACGGGGGAAAGAUUUAUCGCCAUUGGAGCGGCCCGCGUUGGAUUAGGUAGUUGGUGAGGUAAAGGCUCACCAAGCCUACGAUCCAUAGUUGGUCUGAGGGGAUGAUCAGCCACACUGGGACUGAGACACGGCCCAGACUCCUACGGGAGGCAGCAGUAGGGAAUCUUGCGCAAUGGGCGAAAGCCUGACGCAGCCAUGCCGCGUGAACGAUGAAGGUCUUAGGAUUGUAAAAUUCUUUCACCGGGGAAGAUAAUGACGGUUCCCGGAGAAGAAGCCCCGGCUAACUUCGUGCCAGCCGCCGCAGUAAUAC
rnacentral:rRNA from 1 species